rnacentral:rRNA from 1 species
CCUACGGGUGGCUGCAGUGGGGAAUAUUGCACAAUGGGCGCAAGCCUGAUGCAGCCAUGCCGCGUGUGUGAAGAAGGCCUUCGGGUUGUAAAGCACUUUCAGCGGGGAGGAAGGCGUUAAGGUUAAUAACCUUGGCGAUUGACGUUACCCGCAGAAGAAGCACCGGCUAACUCCGUGCCAGCAGCCGCGGUAAUACGGAGGGUGCAAGCGUUAAUCGGAAUUACUGGGCGUAAAGCGCACGCAGGCGGUCUGUCAAGUCGGAUGUGAAAUCCCCGGGCUCAACCUGGGAACUGCAUUCGAAAGUGGCAGGCUAGAGUCUUGGAGAGGGGGGUAGAAUUCCCGGUGGAGCGGUGAAAUGCGUAGAGAUCUGGAGGAAUACCGGUGGCGAAGGCGGCCCCCUGGACAAAGACUGACGCUCAGGUGCGAAAGCGUGGGGAGCAAGCAGGAUUAGAUACCCCAGUAGUC